CAGGGCCUUCGUCGCAGGGAGAGGCAACCUCUCUCCACAGCCCAGGCACUCUCCCAGGUGUGAGCAGCUGUGCCCUACUGAUUGCUUAUUUGUGUACUACUGUGAUCCUGGGAGUGCUGAGUAGCCGUCUUUAGGUUGGGGAUGCCCUGGACCCUCAGAGAGACUCAAGGCUUGACUCCCAUGCCUCCUGCUGCCUCUGCUCAUAUCCCUACUGGGCACUGAUUCUGAGUCCCCGUCCACAGCACUGCCUGCAGCCCCCUUCAACAUCACCGUGACAAAGCUUUCCAGCAGCAACGCUAGUGUGGCCUGGAUGCCAGGUGCUGAUGGCCGAGCUCUGCUACAGUCCUGUACAGUUCAGGUGACACAGGCCCCAGGAGGCUGGGAAGUCCUGGCUGUUGUGGUCCCUGUGCCCCCCUUUACCUGCCUGCUCCGGGACCUGGUGCCUGCCACCAACUACAGCCUCAGGGUGCGCUGUGCCAAUGCCUUGGGGCCCUCUCCCUAUGCUGACUGGGUGCCCUUUCAGACCAAGGGUCUAGCCCCAGCCAGCGCUCCCCAAAACCUCCAUGCCAUCCGCACAGAUUCAGG
rnacentral:sRNA from 1 species